rnacentral:lncRNA from 1 species
AUUUGACCCUCUAUUUGAGAUUGAUCCACCAUAUCUUCCAUGUAAUAAUUUCCUUCUUAGAUUCUACUAUUAUAAUGCCUUUUCACCUUUCAAUUGACUUUUUAAGAAUAGCUUGUUGUAACCUCAAUACAAUAUUUAGUAUGACAUUAACAAUUGACCUUGGACUAAAUGAUGGCUAUCAAUAUACUACCAAAGAAUAGUUUAAUACUUGCUCUGAUACCAAUAAAAUAUGAUAAGUCUAUCUUGAGUAUCCAAGACUCUUUAAAUCCAUAGUAAUAUAAAAUCUCAUUACAAAUUAGGACAAAAUGGACCAGAAUAAAAUUAAAGAGAACUGAACAAAAUAGGAUUUAAAAGACCAAACUCUACAAAUGGAAAUAAGAUAAAAUAAAAUUGAAUAGGAAGAUGCAAAAACAAACUUUAUUAAGAAAGAAGGUCCAAAACCAUAUCUCAUCAGAUGCCCCAAAAGGCCUUAAUUAGUCCUAUUUACACUUUGUUCUAUGAUCCUAGACUUUCUAUAAUAUUCCUAAAUGAUGGAAUCUACUUAGAUAACCGCCUUAAACUCCUUCUAGAAGAUUUUAUGGUGGAUCCUACCUAGAUAACCAUCUUAAAUUCUUUCUAGAAUAUUCCACAAUG